GAGACUCUUAUGUGGAGCUACAAAACAGCCAGUCACCUGGAUUUUGUAGGGUUUGUGUAUUGGAUUCCAAGUUAAACAGAGUGUGGGAUUUUGUUUCUCAUGGAUGGCUACAGGAAAAGCCCUGAUUAAUUACCAUUUAGUGUAACACAAGAUGAAAGACGAGGACUCCGUGUAGUAAGGGACUCUCGGAUUACCGUUUGAAUUACAUAGACUGAAAAAUGUUGAGCCAACUGCAGAGCUGGAAAGACGUGGGCGUUGCUUCUGUUGGGCACGAAGUGGUGAUUUCCAAAGCGUAAGCUGCAAGGCUGUGGGGUGGCCUGUUGCCAUUAACAUGUGUUUAAUUAAAAGCUUGACAGUAAGCAUCGAGGGUGGCCUGUGAGAAAUUCUGACCAGCUUCCAGUGGGAUGAGGAGUCUGAAACCAUUUCAUUAAGCAAAUGUGGUGUUGUACCAGGGCAGCCCCACGUAUGGGUUGAGGGGUCUGACGGGGACUUGCGAUGAUGUUUUCUCUGUGUGGCUACAGAAAAUUCAUGUUACUUGGACCAGUUUCAAGAGACUGGUUCAUAUUCUGCACACCCAGAAGUACCAAACACCCUUAGGUAUUUCUCUGAAUCCCUUUUGAGGAACAGAGGUGUUUGACUCUGCUCUUUGCGUACUCAGUUUCUCAUUACUGGUUUGCUAAUCCCCAGCUUCUGCUAAACAAGAUCUGAGAGGAAUUUUUACCUUCCAGCCUUGCUAUCUCCCAGUGCAUCUUGUAAAGCAUACUGGAUACACCAGUUUCAGGAUUUAACUUGGGAUUUGCUUAGACAUGAAAUUAAUUCAGGGGCAGGAUAGGGUAUGAAUUUUAGAUGCAAUAGCAACUGAUAGAGCUAGCUGAGAAAAUGUCGCUCUGAUAAAGCCUGCUUUACCUUUUUCCCUGGUUAGCGCAUUUCUUCAGAAAAUGUCUCCUUAUUUUUUUUCCCCAAGUUUAUAUGCUUUUCUUCCUUAGCAGUUAUUCUCAGUGCAGAUGGUUUUACCAAAUGCAGUCAGUUUUGGAAGAAGGGGUUUGGGGGUACUGCUUGGUACACACUCUGUUUUUCUCAGACAAUAUUACGCUGUUUCUGCUGUAUGAUCUCCAGGGUCAAAGCAGUGGUAGAUGACACAGUUAAAGUGAUAUAGAUCACAAGCUGUGUGUGGCCAGGGCUUGUCUUGGCCCCCCAGCACACAGGGUCUCUGAGAAGCUGCAGGCAUAGCAACCCACCUGGAUCAUUAAGUCAUAUUUGCUUUUCCUUAGUGUUAAUUUUUCACAGAGCGCUUCCCUGCGGGUUGUCUGCUCCCACCUGCCUGGUGCUGGGAAUUGCAGCCUCUUCCAGUGUUUGUUCCCAGUCCUGCGCUGUGGAAGAGACUGGUGUGAGGCUCCCAGCCAUACCGGGAGGUUUCAUCAGGGCUCCGCUGACCACAGACAUGCAGUGGGAUUUUCUCUGCUCCUCUUUGGAUCUCCAUCCAUCUUCUCGUGAUGGGCUGAGGUCGACUGAGCAUCCGUUGGCUUUCGGGCUCAGGGGCAGAAAGCAGUCUUGGACUGUUCAACCUGAUUUCUCACAGUGGCUGUGGCUCCAGCAUCAGUACCUGCAGGAAUUUCAGCAGUCCUCUCCAGCCAGUUGGCAGGUUGUUCUCUUUUUAAAUCUUUUCCACUGAUUAUGGAUCAUGAGCCAGGAACCUGACAAGAGGUAUUGUUUUGGCAGAUAGACUUUUGUUUCCAAGAAACUUUCCUUUCAUUCCCCGGGGGUGGGGUGUUCCCCCUCGCUUUCCCAAAGGGAAGGAGGAGG